ensembl:lncRNA
GUCUCCCUAACUGAAGCUGAGGAGAAACACCAGAAGGCUGAGGAGACCAUCGCUCAGCUUGAGGUGGAGAAGUCUGACCUGAAAGACCAGGUGGAGACACAGCGAGGAACAGUGCAGGACUGUGAUGAGUGACUCACUGCGAUGAGCUAAGAGACAAACAGGCAUACUCUUGGAUCCCAGGAGACGAGUGCUUGAGGCAGAAGGUAGUUGAACAGAAAUGGAUCCCCAGCAGAAUCAACAUGAUGGGGUAUGAGGGGUGAAAAUAAAGUAACAUAAUUUAAUGUGAAGUAAAAAGUCAAGCUGGUCUUAUAUAGGUGAUAAACACUGCCCCCUGGGUUCCCAGUGCCGGUCUUAUAUAGGUGAUAAACACUGCCCCCUGGGUUUCCUACCCAGUGCCGGUCUUAUACAGGUGAUAAACACUGCCCCCUGGGUUCCCAGUGCCGGUCUUAUAUAGGUGAUAAACACUGCCCCAUUACUUUUGGCAUGUGUGUUUUGUUAACAAGUCAAUAUUACUGACAAACCAGGAAGCAUGCACUCAGGCUUUGAGCUCGUGCUUCGGGUUACGUCACCACGCCACGCCGUUUUUCUUUCCAGCUUGAUUUUAACUUCACAUCUUUUCACCCUUCAUACCUCAUAAGCUUCAUGGAUAAAUACAAGCAAGAAAUCAAACACAAAGACAGAAAGAACUCUUAAGUGUAUUUACGAAAAA